rnacentral:rRNA from 1 species
AUUGAACGCUGGCGGCAUGCCUUACACAUGCAAGUCGAACGGCAGCACGGGUGCUUGCACCUGGUGGCGAGUGGCGAACGGGUGAGUAAUACAUCUGAACAUUUCCUGUAGUGGUGGGUAGCCCGGCGAAAGCCGGAUUAAUACCGCAUACUAUCUCCGGAUGAAAGCGGCUGUCCGUCUGGCCUGGCCCUAUAGGGUUGGCGGAUGGCUGAUUAGCUAGUUUGUGGGGUAAAGGCCUACCAAGGCGACGAUCAGUAGCUGGUCUGAGAGGACGACAAGCGGCACUGGGAGUGGACCACGGACCAGAGUACUAAGGGAGGGAGCAGUCGGGAACUUUGGGCAACGGGGGAGAGUAUGACACAGCAAUGGCGAGUGUGUGAAAACGGCGUUGGGGUUGUAAAGACCUUUUGCGGGGAAAGAAACUCUUGGAGCUAAUAAGGUCGGAGGAUGACGGUACCGGAAGAAAAAGCACCGGCUAACUACGUG